rnacentral:rRNA from 1 species
UACGUAGGGGGCAAGCGUUGUCCGGAUUUACUGGGCGUAAAGAGCUCGUAGGUGGUUUGGUAAGUCGGAUGUGAAAUCUCCAGGCUCAACCUGGAGGGGUCAUUCGAUACUGCCAUGACUAGAGGUCGGUAGGGGAGUGUGGAAUUCCUGGUGGAGCGGUGAAAUGCGCAGAUAUCGGGAAGAACACCCGUGGCGAAGGCGGUUCUCUGGGACGGUACUGACGCUGAGACGCGAAAGCGUGGGGAGCGAACAGG